GGUGAGAUGGCCGAGUUGGUUAUGGCGCCAGGUAAUUCGUCCGAUCCAGUGAUCUAAUCAAAAAUUCUAAUUUCUUCUAGGUUAAGGUUACUCCUUGGCAUUAAUUCCUGGUCACGAAAGUGGCGUGGGUUCGAGUCCCACUCUCAUCA